CCAGCAGCCGCGGUAAUUCCAGCUCCAAUAGCGUAUAUUAAAGUUGUUGCAGUUAAAAAGCUCGUAGUUGGACCCGUGGUGGGUCCCGGUGUCCAUUUUGGUACACUUGGGACCCGCCAUCUUUGGGUGGAUCCUGUGUGGCAUUAGGUUGUCGUGCAGGGGAUGCCCAUCGUUUACUGUGAAAAAAUUAGAGUGUUCAAAGCAGGCUUAUGCCGAUGAAUAUAUUAGCAUGGAAUAAUGAGAUAGGACCUUGGUACUAUUUUGUUGGUUUGUGUUCUAAGGUAAUGGUUAAUAGGGACAGUUGUGGGUAUUUGUAUUCCAUUGUCAGAGGUGAAAUUCUUGGA
rnacentral:rRNA from 1 species